GCCAGCAGCCAUAUCACCCUCACAACCGGCAGCCCCACUGAAGUUCAGCAGGUGUGAGCCCGAUCAGUACCUGGAUGGGAGGCCUCCUGGGAAAGCUAAGGUUGGUGCUGGAA
rnacentral:rRNA from 1 species